rnacentral:lncRNA from 1 species
CGCCGGCAGCGCAGCUAUUCCGGUGACCCCGCGACCACCCCUUGCAGCCUCGUCAACGGCCGCCUCCGCAGCAGAUCGGCGCCUUUCUUCCGCCAUCCACCAGAUCGGUUAUCUCCCAGCAGAGCUCCGCCGCCAUCCACCAGAUCGGCUUCCGGCAGAUCUGCAGUCGUGCAGAUUUGAGGCUGCAGCAGAUCGGCGCCACUCCUCCGCCUCCCAGCAGAUCGAUCGGCGACGCUUCUACGCCACCCAGCAGUCCGGUUGCCAGCAGACCUCCGACGCUUAGGAGACAGACUCGUAGCUGCAGUCGCAGCCACCGGAGCCGCCGACUCUGCGCAAGAUCGGUCAACGCCGGUAGUCACGAAGCUAUGCUCUGAAUCUGAAUCUCGCCUACCAGCCACCUAUCUCAACGCCUGCAGUCUCUCUCGGCCGAUUCCUCCCGCUCUGACCGGCGUCAUCUGCUGUCAUUGUACCCAAGUUCCGACGCCAAUGUAAGCUAUCUUGUAAUGGUUGAAAGCUCUGUUGUUGUCUCUACUAUGAAAAUGGCGUAUGGAUUGGAGUUUGGGAUUUGGAUUUCACAACAAUUCGAAUAGAGGCAGUUUACGGAUUCUUCUUCUUCAAACUUAUUUUCCUUGGAUAUGAAUGAUUCUGGAAUGGAUAUUUC